rnacentral:rRNA from 1 species
AACGAACGCUGGCGGCAGGCUUAACACAUGCAAGUCGAACGCCCGUAGCAAUACGGGAGUGGCGGACGGGUGAGUAACGCGUGGGAACGUACCCUGAGGUACGGAAUAACCGAGGGAAACUUCGGCUAAUACCGUAUGAGCCCCGCAAGGGGGAAAGAUUUAUCGCCUUGGGAGCGGCCCGCGUCGGAUUAGCUAGUUGGUGGGGUAACGGCCUACCAAGGCUUCGAUCCGUAGCUGGUCUGAGAGGACGAUCAGCCACACUGGGACUGAGACACGGCCCAGACUCCUACGGGAGGCAGCAGUGGGGAAUCUUGCGCAAUGGGGGGCAACCCUGACGCAGCCAUGCCGCGUGAACGAUGAAGGCCUUAGGGUUGUAAAGUUCUUUUACCCGUGACGAUGAUGACGGUAACGGGGGAAUAAGCUCCGGCUAACUUCGUG